AUACGUAGGGUGCGAGCGUUGUCCGGAAUUACUGGGCGUAAAGAGCUCGUAGGUGGUUUGUCGCGUCGUCUGUGAAAUUCCGGGGCUUAACUCCGGGCGUGCAGGCGAUACGGGCAUAUCUUGAGUACUGUAGGGGAGACUGGAAUUCCUGGUGUAGCGGUGAAAUGCGCAGAUAUAAGGAGGAACACCGGUGGCGAAGGCGGAUCACUGGGCAUUAACUGACGCUGAGGAGCGAAAGCAUGGGUAGCGAACAGGAUUAGAUACCCUGGUAGUCCAUGCCGUAAACGGUGGGCGCUAGGUGUAGGGGUCUUCCACGGCAUCUGUGCCGUAGCUAACGCAUUAAGCGCCCCGCCUGGGGAGUACGGCCGCAAGGCUAAAACUCAAAUGAAUUGACGGGG
rnacentral:rRNA from 1 species